UUUUUCAUUAUUAUUUUUGCUGCACACGAUAAACAUGACGCACGUGCGCGGUAAAUAUUGAACGCACGUGCGGGCUAAAUAUUAAAUGUGGUUUCUUAUUUCUGACGUUUGCGGUGAGUUGCAGCUUGCGGAUCGAUAUUGACGCGUGUAGGGGCGGCGUUAUGGUGGGAUAGGCACUGCGUUCUAAAAGUGUAUGACGUCGUGUGAAAACUCGUGGCAACGUGGCGGCGGAGAAGGAGGGGUGAAAACUGUGGUAAAUGUAGGAACGGUUGUUAAGGUGGAGAGAAAGUAGAAUGGUGAAGUAUCGAGUGGCGGCAAGGAAUGUACAGUAGUGUUUGUAGUGCAGCUGGAAGGGCCGAGCAUAAGGAACGAAGGGAUAAGAAACAUGUCGGAUGCAAUCAUACUAGCACUAAAGCACCGGAUCCCAUCAAAACUCUGAAAUUAAGUGUGCUUGGGCGAGAGUAGUACUAGGAUAGGUGACCUCCUAAGAAGUCCACAUGUUGAAUUCUC
rnacentral:rRNA from 1 species